GUCUCCAGUCCCGCCCGCCCGCCUGCCCACCAGCCGGCCAGCCCGCCUCACCACAGCAUCCAUCCCAGCAGCUGCAGAAAUUUACCCCCACCACCCACCCCAGACAUCUGCUUUGAGAUCCAGAGGACAUGAUCUGCCAAGAAGAGUGCUGGCUGUGACUGAACCCGAAAACCUGUCAGAGGACUGACUGUCCCGAACACACACAGGAUCCCUCAGGAGUCAGUGAUGACGAGGAGGCCUUCGGCUGCGGGAGCCUGAAAACAUCUGACGCCUGCUUUGAAACGAGGAUUUGAGUGUAGACAACAGGCAUGAACAUAUCAUACAUUACACAUGUUUUCCUAAAUCCUUCAUAUCAAACUAUCAAACUAGAAAACUAAGUAGUGAUAUGUGGUUGAGGUACUUUAGAUACUAGCAAUGCUUCAUAUUUAUUAGCUUAUCAUUUAUGUAUGUAUGUAAAAAACAUUAUCCGAAUAAGAAUGUAAAGGGAUUAGAGCCGAGCAGAGCACACGUAGAACAAAGUAACAUUGAACUUGUAAAAUAAAGUCCAGGCACCUUAGGACUGCAGCACUAAACUAAUACACUAAACGACACUGUUGCUUUCAUUGACUUUGGUUUUAUUUUUCUUUAAAACUAGCAACAAAUCGUUAGGGGUGGGAAUCACAAUGUAUGAUAAGAUACACGAUACCAAUAAUAUCACGAUACAAUGAUGAUCAAUAUAUUGCAAGACAAUCACAUAUCUGUCUAACAAAACCUCCAUUAAAAGUUUAAAGUGCAGGAUUUUUCAAAGUGCAUAAAGUCUAUGUAUAGAACAUGGAUGGAGCAUCUCUUAAAGUAGCUUUCUCCGCCAUUAUCCCACUGUAAACUCCCAUAAGCCAAAACUUCGGCCAGGUAACUCCCAGUGAAGGGAAGUAGCGAAGCCCAGCGAGUGAAACUGGCCUUCAUUUAUCAAUUUAAAUAUCGAUAUUUGCCCUAGCAUAUCGAUUAUCAUAUCGCACGAGGAAGGACAAAGAUAUAUCACCAAAAAUGGUAUUUUGAUUCUGAAUACCUGUAUUUUUAAUAUUAAUUAUUAAUAUCCAAGCAGCACCAAUCUGCCCAUUCAUACAUUGCUUUCGGUGUAUCUACAUAAUGACCUAUUUUAUCACUCAUGGACCUGAGUGCAUGGAAAUUCAGCCCUUUUUUUUUUCCCCCGUCUAAUUAGCAGAAUUAAAUGUAAUCUGUUACCUUGCUGCUGCUUACGCCUCCUCUCACAAGGCCUGACAGGAUUUGUGAGGUGCUGUAGGUCCAUUUUUCAGUGUCACUCCCCUCCUCCUCCUCCUCCUCCUACUUCUCCUCACCACCUUCAGUGCACCGCGGUUACGUUAUUAAACUUGUAUAAGAUCAUUAGCAUACAAAGCAGGAAACCUACCGCAGUGGAGUCAUACAUAUUUAUCUGGACGUGCCUGACUUGUGUGUGCAUUCACUCGUACUGUAACCCCUUUUACAUGCAGGCGUCACUGGCUUGCUCCUGUGGGAGAGUUGCGAAUAGAGACUAUGAAGAGGGGAAAUUAGCAGGAGCAGGUCUAGUUCCAAGCGAUAAGUAUUUGUUUGUGUAACAUCAGAGUAAACACACAGCACUGUUUCGCUUUUAGACUCGAGUGCAGCUGCUCGUAAGACGAAAAGGCAACGCGUGCAUCUGGAAACGGAGCAGAUGGAGUUGGCUGAGGUUCAUCAGAGCAGUUUGCUUCAAGCAUAUCAAAUAUAGUUUACACACAGCUGAUUUUCAGUCUAGCAAUGCCUGCAAUACAUAUUCAUCUGCUGCACAGAGGCUCAUAAUCAAACAGAGAGUUAGUCAAACAGAGAGCAGGCAUUUGUUAGCGUUUGUGUCACCUGUGUGUUACCUCUGCCUCUGCCAUGACUGUGAAAUCAGCUCCUUUUUUUCUCCUCUUGUCUUCUUUUCCAAAAACAGCACUCUCUCCAUCUCCCUGCCCUCAUGGGACCCUCUCUCUCUUCACACAACCUCAACCUCCUGGCUGAAACUACAACGUGGACUCCUCUGUUUAUCUUCCCUUCCCAUUCCUCCUCCUCCUUUUUCCUCUCCCUCCUGUGAGAUUGCUGUUGUGUCUUAUGGCUUUUUAUUCCUACGUGAUGUUAGAUGGGUUCAUGUAGGAGUAGAAGCCACUAAACACGCGGUGAGUGCUCAGCACGCCGGCCAGAACACGCUUCCUGUGGAUGUGACAACCGCCAUGCUCGUGUCAGUGUCCUGCACAUUACCGAUAAAAAAAUAGAACAGAUCCGCUGAGAGGUUAUUGACUCGGCUGUAAUGUGAAAAAUUCUGUUGAAAUGCUGGACUUUUGUUGGAGAUAAACGUCACUCCGACCACGUCUCCGGUUGUGAUCAGACCUCAUUUUCCCACCUGUGAGCCGGUAGCACGUGCCCUGGAUUCCAACACUCAUUUUUACGUUCCUCUGCUUCGAGGUCGCUGAACAAAACUGGAGCUGGAAAGUUCUCAAAAUAGAGAUUAGGAGGGGGGAAAAAAUGCCGCAAGUGAAGUGAAAUAACAUGCAGGGUGGAUAAUGGUGCUGUUGAACAAUGUGCAUUAUCUGAAUCUGUAUCACAUUUUCACUAAAAGCUCCAGUGUGUAACAUUUAGAAGGGUUUAUUGACAAAAAAAAUGUAAUUAUAUGCCGCCAAACCUGCCAAUGCAUACAGUACAAAGAAAAAACAGUUGUAUAAACCAACGAAGAAAGAGGAGGAAAUAGCAAAGAGAGUGUUUAAGUCCUUUCUGGUAUGUGAAGAAGGCCACUGUAGUUCACCGUUAAAUAUCUCUCAUUCUUACACACUGAUUCCAACGUGAAAUUUCAAUCUGACAAUAACAACAACAACAACUGCCGAUAUCUUUAACUUUUGCUGUCGCUGGGGAAAAAGAAAACAGAAUAUAAACUUCCAGGUUCUGAGAUAAACUACCUUGG